UACGGAGGGUGCAAGCGUUGUUCGGAAUCACUGGGCGUAAAGGGCGUGUAGGCGGUCCGCUAAGUCUGAUGUGAAAGCCCGGGGCUCACCCCCGGAAGGGCAUUGGAAACUGGCGGACUCGAGUCCCGGAGAGGAAGGUGGAAUUCCUGGUGUAGCGGUGAAAUGCGUAGAUAUCCGGAGGAAUACCAGUGGCGAAGGCGGCACGCUGGGCCAUAACUGACGCUAAGACGCGAAAGCAUGGGUAGCGAACGGG
rnacentral:rRNA from 1 species